rnacentral:rRNA from 1 species
UACGGAGGGUGCAAGCGUUAUCCGGAUUCACUGGGUUUAAAGGGUGCGUAGGUGGGGUGGUAAGUCAGUGGUGAAAUCUCCGAGCUUAACUUGGAAACUGCCAUUGAUACUAUCAUUCUUGAAUAUUGUGGAGGUUAGCGGAAUAUGUCAUGUAGCGGUGAAAUGCUUAGAUAUGACAUAGAACACCAAUUGCGAAGGCAGCUGGCUACACAUAUAUUGACACUGAGGCACGAAAGCGUGGGGAGCAAACAGG